AGAAUCAGCAUGCUGGUGCAAAGUGAUCCACUGACACCUAAUGAGCUCCUUCCACUAAUUUUCUUUCUGGGCCUAUUUUCAAUCUUUUUAUAACUAAAAUGUCUUUUAAUUUCUUCAGUGAAUUUGGUACUGGUAGUGGUUACCAAACUGAGAAACCUGGAGAGUUCAAUUAUCUGAUCGAAUCUAUCAAUCUAAUUUCUAAUGCACCCUUCACAUGGUAUCUAGGCAACAUUUAGCCACAGAACAGUUGCAACAUAGGCUACAACAAUGCAAGCUCUCCUUGCCAUUGUGACAUAAUCAGAGUUAUCUAUAGGGACAAGAGGGAAGUCUAGUCUCCAUGGCUUAUUCAACCUUUGUCCUCAUCCCUAUGCUAAGGCUGCCAACACAGAUACCACGGCGGAUGAGAAUGGUUAGUUAACACCGUGGCAGAUUUCAUGCUUGGGGCUCUGUUUUGCCAGCCCCUGACAACCCUCCCUCUCCAAAGUAGCUCCUGUGGCCGGGCAAGGUAAUUUUUCCAGACCCCAGCUUUGCAAUCAGUGAUGACAUCUCUGAAUUUCCAGCUUAGAAAGGACAAAAAAUAAAAUCUCUUCCAGACAAGGUGAAUGUGAGAACAAAUAUUAAAGAAGAGGAAACAAAAGCCCUUCAUUAGAAUGAAAGAUUUUUUCCUGUAACUGAUUUUGUUAGAAACUAUGAUGUUAGAAAAACCAAGUCUGUCUCUCAGCAAAAAAUCUGCCUUUGAUUUUAUUCUCUUUGGGGAAUACUUCAGGGGAAAGAAAACACUCACGGUGAAGCAAAUUCAUAAGAUGUAAACUAUGCUCAUUGUAGCACUUAUUUUUCCUUUAAGCCUGAGGAGGAGCCCUGCCACCAGAAUGUUACAGGAAAAUUGAUUUGAUUUUCUCUGAUUAUCCAUUCAAGAAAACAAAGAUUCAAAAACUGGCAGUGAGAUCAGCAGCUUUUUCUUCUGACAGAGAAGGUGACAGUGAGCACCAGUUUCUGACUUAUACACCGUUUGGAUAUAGAUGACGUGCAUUGUUAACUUUCUGACACAUCCUCUUCCUUAUAACCUGCAUGGCUUCAUAAACAAACAAUACUUCUGAGCCCCAUCUAUGCCUUGAGAAGCUGAGAAAAAAAAUUCUUAUGGACAACGUCGGCUACGUGGGAAUCCUAGUUCAUGUUUGUUCAGAAAUUUUGAGUGAGUGAGAGCAACUACUGAAUCCCAAUGAGGCCCAAGUUCAAUGAAACUCCUGUACCUGCACUUUUGGCUUUGACGGAAUAUGAAAACUUUGCUAAGCUGAAUGCAACAGGAGACACUGAAACUAAACAGCUAGAAGGGUCCCUCUCGUCCACAGUUGCACUAAUAAUAGUGCUGAUCAUUAUUUUCUCUUUGAUAAUGACAUCCUUAGUGACCUACUGUUUCCACAAGUGGCAACUGAGGGGUAAAAAACUGCAGAAAGCGCAAGAGGAAUAUCAGCGAGACCAUGAAAAGAGCAUGUUCCAAAGCAUGUCAGGACUUGUUUCAUAAAAGAAAUCAAUCCAACAUGAAAUAUUCCUGCAUUACCUGAAAGUGAAAAAUAACUAACUACUGGAAGCUACAUAUUGAAACAGCCACCUAAAUAUAUCCUGGUUUUACCUAAUUUGUAAGAAUUUUUAAUGGUUUGGAAAUUUCCAACAGCUUCCUUAUAAAUCAAAAAUAUUCAGUUGUCUCAUCUGUGCAAAGUAAAAUAAAUGCAACCAUGUAUUUUAAUCUGCAUUUUAUUUACUAAAAAACAGUAGGUCAAACCCUGCUGUCCUUAUUCUAUCAAAACUCCCAUGGAAGUCAAGGGGCCAGAGUCUCAGCUCGUUCCAAUCAGCAUAGCUGAUGGGAGUUGAUAGAACUAUGAUGAUUUGCUUUAGCAGAUGAUCUGGCUCAAAUGAGAGCUUUAUCUGAGUAAGGGCCACAGGAUUUUACCCAAUUACCACCUAAUCCUGAAAGCCUUCUGGGGCAGAACUCCCAAAGACUUCAAGAAGAGUUCCAUGCACAGAGGGCUUGCAGGAUUGAGCCCUAUGUUUGCUAGCAGACUGUAUGUUGAUAAUAAUUCCAUUUAUUUUGUUUAGGGUCCAUGGGAAUUGAGGGCACUCAGCACCUCACAUGAUGGUCCCAGAUUUAUUAAGGAGCAUGCAAGCUGAACACACUUUUUUAAAGCUUGCAAUUAUUUUUAACCAGGCUUACAAUGGCGUGUUUCUAUUUUUGUAGCCUGUAAUGUUAUGUCAUGCAAAAGAUGCCGACUCUAU